rnacentral:rRNA from 1 species
GAAUUACGAGCCCAAGCUUAAAACCCAAAGGACUUGACGGUUUCCCACCCCCCUAGAGGAGCCUGUUCUAUAAUCGAUUCUCCCCGAUCAACCCGACCACCCCUUGAAUACUCAGCCUGUAUACCUCCGUCGCAAGCUUACCGUGUGAAUGCCUUUAGUGAGCUCAAAGACCCUAUGCCCACACGUCAGGUCAAGGUGCAGCCCACGAGGUGGAAAGAAAUGGGCUACAAUUUCUAUUCUAGAACAAACGAAAGACUACAUGAAACACAGUCACUGAAGGCGGAUUUAGUAGUAAAAAGAAAAUAGAGAGUUCUUUUUAAUGAGGCCCUGGGAUGCGUACACACCGCCCGUCACCCUCUUCAAAUAAUACCUAUACACGUCACUAACAUUAAACAUUUUUACAGAAGAGGCAAGUCGUAACAUGGUAAGCGUACUGGAAAGUGUGCUUGGAAUAACAAAAUGUAAUUUAACAAAAGUAUCUUGCUUACACCAAGAACAUGUCUGUAAAAAUCCGACCAUUUUGAGCUUGAAGCCUAGCCCCAAUCUACCCAAUGAAACAUCUUUUCCCACCCCUCUCCCAUAAAACAUUUUCCUAACUAAGUAAAGGCGAUUAAAAAGUACCUAGGAGCCUCAACAUCAGUACCGUAAGGG